CAGGCUGGGUGGGCGGGGCGCGCGGCGGCUGCAGGGGGACGUGAGGCCCGUGAGAUAAAAAAAGAAUAGCAUCCUUCCCAAGCCCUGAGCCGUGAGAAGCUCCCUGUCCAGAACUGAACAGACAGCCACAGUACAGGGUGGAAGUGCUCAGGUAGCACAACAAAGAAGUGGAUGACUAGGAGAACAGCCAUUUGUGAGAAAAGUUCUGCCCUGAAUCACACUGACAUUGGAGUUGGCUGAUCAUGCACAGGGCACAGCGUGCAGCCGCGAGCCGUGCUCUGCGCGGGACUCAGCGCCCUCGUCCAUCCGAG